AUUAGAUCAGAGCUGGCAAAAGAGUUUCCCAAGAUACUGUAAAUGGCCAUAUUUGUGGUUAUUCUCUAGGGUGGACAUUUGCUGCAUACACCUGAUGGACACUGGAAAUCCAGCCAGAGUAACUAGCUUUAAUUUAGCUUCAAAUAGUCAGCUACGAAUGUUAUUUUAUUCUCCAAAAUAUUGCUUCCAAAAAUUAUGUAAAUGCAAUUUCAGAGGAAAACAAAACAAAACUAAACAAAAAAAGAAGCCAAAGAGCAUAGCUGGGCUAUGAGCUGAGACACUCAAUGGAUAAUUUUUCACAUCUUGGCAUUAGGUGGAAUACUCAUCACUAAUAGAGGCCUGAGUGUUCUUUGUUCUGUAAAAACAGACCAGGUUUUUCUCUGUGCUUCUCUGCCUCUUGGUGGUGAGGAAUGGAGGUAGCAGUAUCAGGGACCUAGGAGGAAGGGCAGCUGUAGGUUGUGGCACUAAGGCCACUGCCUGGGUGACCACAUGGAGCAGGGCCACUCACUGCAGGGCCACCUCCUCCCUCUGGACUGAUAGGUCAGACACACAUGUUCAUUCUACUGUACUUCGUGGUUCUUAGUAACAGGCCAUGUGGCCCUUUUCUGCAUCUCCCUAGAAUCUCCAUUCAGUUUUCUGGAACAACUCAUUUUUUUAUCAUGUUGUUUAGAGAGGGCAGCCAGGAUAGCCACACUGUUUCUGUCCAUGUGUCCACCCACCUGGGUUGCCCUUGUCUCCUGUCCUAUCACAGUAGCAGCCCCAGGUCACUGGGCCUUGUCAGUCUCAUGAGGGCUGAGGAGGACUCUGCAGGGCUGAGCCCACUCUCUCCCUUCUCUGUGUCAUCCCCACAUUCUCUAACAGAAUUGAGGCUCAGUGAUGGAUUUAUUAGACACAAAGUUACUUACUUUCUCCUGUUUUAUUAUUUGUGAACUCCAGUUUCCAACUUUUUCAUACAGAUUUCCUCAAACCAUUUUUAAAGCUAAUGGAUAGAACCCACUGGUAUUUUAAUUGGAAUUGCCAAGAUCCAUCUCUUAAAAGGAAAUGAUCUCAAAUACACCCUCAAGAUGGGGAGCUCCAUCCCUCAUAAAGGAAGGGCACCUACAUCCCCUUAGAGGAGGGGCACCCCUGAGAUGGCGGUGCCAUCUCUAAAGGAAGUGUAUCCCAUCCCCUAGAGGAGGGGAUUCCCUGGGGUCCUAUAAGCAUCUUGUAUUUGACUUUUCAUCCCAUUCUUUAAUUUUGGAAAAUUUCCUGCUAUUAUAUCAUUGAAAAGAUCAUGCAUUCCUUUGGUUUGUAUCUCUUCUUCUUCAUCUAUUUCAAUAACUCUUAAAUUUGAUCUUUUCACGUUAUCCAAAAUUCUUGGAUAUUCUGUUCACUGGUUUCUUACCAUCUUCUCUGCACUCUACUUUGAAGAUUAUAUAUUUUGUCUUCAUUGUCUGAGGUUCUGUCUUUCAAGUUGUCUACUCUGGGAUGCUCUCUAUUUAAUUUAUAAUUUUGUCUACUGAUUCCUUCAUUUCUAGGAUUUCUGCUAUUUUUCACAGUCUCUAGUUUUUUAUCAAAGUGAUCUUUCUCUCUCUAUAUAUAUAUUAUAU
rnacentral:lncRNA from 1 species